CCUACGGGAGGCAGCAGUGAGGAAUAUUGCACAAUGGCCGCAAGGCUGAACCAGCCAUGCCGCGUGUAUGACAGUGCCCUAUGGGCUGUAAAGUUCUUUUGUGCGGGAGCAAUACGGGUCACGUGUGGACAGACGAGAGUAACGUACCACUAAGCAGAGGCUAACUCCGUGCCAGCAGCCGCGGUAAUACGGGGGAUGCAAGCGUUAUCCGGAUUUAGUGGGUUUAAAGGGUGCGUAGGCGGUGGGGUAAGUCAGAGGUGAAAUGCCCCCGCUCAACGGGGAGAAGGGACAUUGAUACUGCCGGGCUGGAGUGCGGAUGCCGUGGGAGGAAUGUGGGGUG
rnacentral:rRNA from 1 species